GGGGUUGGCUCAGUCGGUACAGCACGAGACUCUUAAUCUCAGGGUCGUGGGUUCGAGUCCUGCCUCGCA